CUGCAACUAAAACUAUUCCCCUUGAGUGUCGGAGAGGAAAGUGGAAUUCCUAGUGUAGCGGUGAAAUGCGUAGAUAUUAGGAGGAACACCAGUGGCGAAGGCGACUUUUCUGGACGAUAACUGACGUUGAGGCACGAAAGUGUGGGGAGCAAACAGGAUUAGAUACCCUGGUAGUCCACACUGUAAACGAUGGAUACUAGGUGUAGGGUGUAUUAAGCACUCUGUGCCGCCGCAAACGCAUUAAGUAUCCCACCUGGGGAGUACGACCGCAAGGUUGAAACUCAAAGGAAUUGACGGGGGCCCGCACAAGCAGUGGAGUAUGUGGAUUAAUUCGAUGCAACGCGAAGAACCUUACCAGGUCUUGACAUCCCGCUAACGAGGUAGAGAUACGUUAGGUGCCCUUCGGGGAAAGCGGAGACAGGUGGUGCAUGGUUGUCGUCAGCUCGUGUCGUGAGAUGUUGGGUUAAGUCCCGCAACGAGCGCAACCCUUACUGUUAGUUGCUACGCAAGAGCACUCUAGCAGGACCGCCGUUGACAAAACGGAGGAAGGUGGGGAUGAUGUCAAAUCAUCAUGCCCCUUAUGACCUGGGCCUCACACGUACUACAAUGGCCAUUAACAGAGGGAGGCAAAGCCGCGAGGCAGAGCAAAACCCUAAAAAUGGUCCCAGUUCGGAUCGCAGGCUGCAACCCGCCUGCGUGAAGUUGGAAUUGCUAGUAAUCGCGGAUCAGCAUGCCGCGGUGAAUACGUUCCCGGGCCUUGUACACACCGCCCGUCACACCAUGGAAGUCGGUAAUGCCCGAAGUCAGUAGCCUAACCGCAAGGGGGGCGCUGCCGAAGGCAGGAUUGAUGACUGGGGUGAAGUCGUAACAAGGUAACCGUAA
rnacentral:rRNA from 1 species